UACAGAGGGUGCGAGCGUUAAUCGGAAUUACUGGGCGUAAAGCGCGCGUAGGCGGCUUUGCAAGUCGGAUGUGAAAUCCCUCGGCUCAACCGAGGAACUGCAUCCGAAACUGCGAGGCUCGAGUCCUGGAGAGGGUAGUGGAAUUCCCAGUGUAGCGGUGAAAUGCGUAGAUACUGGGAGGAACACCGGUGGCGAAGGCGGCUACCUGGACAGGUACUGACGCUGAUGCGCGAAAGCCAGGGGAGCAAACAGG
rnacentral:rRNA from 1 species